GAUGAACGCUGGCGGCGUGCCUAAUACAUGCAAGUCGAGCGAACGGACGAGAAGCUUGCUUCUCUGAUGUUAGCGGCGGACGGGUGAGUAACACGUGGAUAACCUACCUAUAAGACUGGGAUAACUUCGGGAAACCGGAGCUAAUACCGGAUAAUAUUUUGAACCGCAUGGCUCAAAAGUGAAAGACGGUCUUGCUGUCACUUAUAGAUGGAUCCGCGCUGCAUUAGCUAGUUGGUAAGGUAACGGCUUACCAAGGCAACGAUGCAUAGCCGACCUGAGAGGGGGACCGGCCACACUGGAACUGAGAACCGGUCCAGACUCCUACGGGAGGAAGCAGUAGGGAAUCUUCCGAAAUGGGCGAAAGCCUGACGGAGCAACGCCGCGUGAGUGAUGAAGGUCUUCGGAUCGUAAAACUCUGUUAUUAGGGAAGAACAUAUGUGUAAGUAACUGUGCACAUCUUGACGGUACCUAAUCAGAAAGCCACGGCUAACUACGUG
rnacentral:rRNA from 1 species